UUGUGGUCGGNGUACAGGUGGUGCAUGGCUGUCGUCAGCUCGUGUCGUGAGAUGUUGGGUUAAGUCCCGCAACGAGCGCAACCCUUGUCCCGUGUUGCCAGCAGGCCCUUGUGGUGNUGGGGACUCACGGGAGACCGCCGGGGUCAACUCGGAGGAAGGUGGGGACGACGUCAAGUCAUCAUGCCCCUUAUGUCUUGGGCUGCACACGUGNUACAAUGGCCGGUACAAUGAGCUGCGAUACCGUGAGGUGGAGCGAAUCUCAAAAAGCCGGUCUCAGUUCGGAUUGGGGUCUGCAACUCGACCCCAUGAAGUCGGAGUCGCUAGUAAUCGCAGAUCAGCAUUGCUGCGGUGAAUACGUUCCCGGGCCUUGUACACACCGCCCGUCACGUCACGAAAGUCGGUAACACCCGAAGCCGUGGCCCAACCCCUCGGGGAGGAGCUGUCGAAGUGGGAG
rnacentral:rRNA from 1 species